rnacentral:siRNA from 1 species
ACCCCCAUAUGUCUACAAGGCGC